CCUACGGGGGGCUGCAGUGGGGAAUAUUGGACAAUGGGGGGAACCCUGAUCCAGCCAUGCCGCGUGUGAAGAAGGCCCUCGGGUUGUAAAGCACUUUCAGUGAGGAAGAACGCCUGGUGGUUAAUACCCAUCAGGAAAGACAUCACUCACAGAAGAAGCACCGGCUAACUCCGUGCCAGCAGCCGCGGUAAUACGGAGGGUGCGAGCGUUAAUCGGAAUUACUGGGCGUAAAGCGCGCGUAGGUGGCUUGAUAAGCCGGUUGUGAAAGCCCCGGGCUCAACCUGGGAACGGCAUCCGGAACUGUCAAGCUAGAGUGCAGGAGAGGAAGGUAGAAUUCCCGGUGUAGCGGUGAAAUGCGUAGAGAUCGGGAGGAAUACCAGUGGCGAAGGCGGCCUUCUGGACUGACACUGACACUGAGGUGCGAAAGCGUGGGUAGCAAACAGGAUUAGAUACCCCUGUAGUC
rnacentral:rRNA from 1 species